CACCUGCUGAGCAGCCCUCGGAGGACAGG
rnacentral:sRNA from 1 species